GCAUUGAUGGUUCAAUGGUGGAAUUCUCUCCUUCCAGGUAGGAGAUCUGGGUUCGAUUCUUGGCCAAUGCA
rnacentral:tRNA from 1 species